AUCCAACUGACGAGUUCAAAAUAAGACAAGACAUGCGUCCUGGAU
rnacentral:hammerhead_ribozyme from 1 species